rnacentral:rRNA from 1 species
AUUGAACGCUGGCGGCAGGCCUAACACAUGCAAGUCGAGCGGAUAAAGGGAGCUUGCUCCUGGAUUCAGCGGCGGACGGGUGAGUAAUGCCUAGGAAUCUGCCUGGUAGUGGGGGAUAACGUCCGGAAACGGGCGCUAACACCGCAUACGUCCUGAGGGAGAAAGUGGGGGAUCUUCGGACCUCACGCUAUCAGAUGAGCCUAGGUCGGAUUAGCUAGUUGGUGGGGUAAAGGCCUACCAAGGCGACGAUCCGUAACUGGUCUGAGAGGAUGAUCAGUCACACUGGAACUGAGACACGGUCCAGACUCCUACGGGAGGCAGCAGUGGGGAAUAUUGGACAAUGGGCGAAAGCCUGAUCCAGCCAUGCCGCGUGUGUGAAGAAGGUCUUCGGAUUGUAAAGCACUUUAAGUUGGGAGGAAGGGCAGUAAGUUAAUACCUUGCUGUUUUGACGUUACCAACAGAAUAAGCACCGGCUAACUUCGUG